rnacentral:rRNA from 1 species
CCUACGGGUGGCAGCAGUAGGGAAUAUUGCUCAAUGGGGGAAACCCUGAAGCAGCAACGCCGCGUGGAGGAUGAAGGUUUUCGGAUUGUAAACUCCUUUUGGUAGAGAAGAUAAUGACGGUAGCUAACGAAUAAGCACCGGCUAACUCCGUGACAGCAGCCGCGGUAAUACGGAGGGUGCAAGCGUUACUCGGAAUCACUGGGCGUAAAGAGCGCGUAGGCGGGAUAGCAAGUCAGAUGUGAAAUCCUAGGGCUUAACCAUAGAACUGCAUUUGAAACUGUUAUUCUAGAGUAUGGGAGAGGUAGGUGGAAUUCUUGGUGUAGGGGUAAAAUCCGUAGAUAUCAAGAGGAAUACUCAUUGCGAAGGCGACCUGCUAGAACAUAACUGACGCUGAUGCGCGAAAGCGUGGGGAGCAAACAGGAUUAGAUACCCUUGUAGUC